rnacentral:rRNA from 1 species
GUCCGCGCUGUAAACGAUGAGUGCUAGACGGUGGAGGUAUUGACCCCUUCGCUGCCGAAGCUAACGCGUUAAGCACUCCGCCUGGGGAGUACGGUCGCAAGACUAAAACUCAAAGGAAUUGACGGGGGCCCGCACAAGCGGUGGAGCAUGUGGUUUAAUUCGACGCAACGCGCAAAACCUUACCUGGGUUAAAUCCGCCGGAAGCUGGCUGAAAGGCUGGUGUGCCCUUCGGGGAAUCGGUGAGAAGGUGCUGCAUGGCUGUCGU